rnacentral:rRNA from 1 species
ACGCUGGCGGCAGGCCUAACACAUGCAAGUCGAGCGGUAGAGAGAAGCUUGCUUCUCUUGAGAGCGGCGGACGGGUGAGUAAUGCCUAGGAAUCUGCCUGGUAGUGGGGGAUAACGUUCGGAAACGGACGCUAAUACCGCAUACGUCCUACGGGAGAAAGCAGGGGACCUUCGGGCCUUGCGCUAUCAGAUGAGCCUAGGUCGGAUUAGCUAGUUGGUGAGGUAAUGGCUCACCAAGGCGACGAUCCGUAACUGGUCUGAGAGGAUGAUCAGUCACACUGGAACUGAGACACGGUCCAGACUCCUACGGGAGGCAGCAGUGGGGAAUAUUGGACAAUGGGCGAAAGCCUGAUCCAGCCAUGCCGCGUGUGUGAAGAAGGUCUUCGGAUUGUAAAGCACUUUAAGUUGGGAGGAAGGGCAUUAACCUAAUACGUUAGUGUUUUGACGUUACCGACAGAAUAAGCACCGGCUAACUCUGUGCCAGCAGCCGCGGUAAUACAGAGGGUGCAAGCGUUAAUCGGAAUUACUGGGCGUAAAGCGCGCGUAGGUGGUUUGUUAAGUUGGAUGUGAAAUCCCCGGGCUCAACCUGGGAACUGCAUUCAAAACUGACUGACUAGAGUAUGGUAGAGGGUGGUGGAAUUUCCUGUGUAGCGGUGAAAUGCGUAGAUAUAGGAAGGAACACCAGUGGCGAAGGCGACCACCUGGACUAAUACUGACACUGAGGUGCGAAAGCGUGGGGAGCAGAC